GUAGGUGAACCUGCGGAAGGAUCAUUAUUGAAGUAAACCUGAUAGAUUGUUGCUGGUUCUUUAAUGAACAUGUGCACAUCUGUCAUCUUUAUAUCUCCACCUGUGCACCUUUUGUAGACCUGGACAAGUUUCUUAAUCCUAGUAUUAAGGUUUUGGGAUUGACUUUAUUGACUUUCCUUAUAUUUCUGGGUCUAUGUUUAUUCAAAUACCCUAAUGUAUGUUAUAGAAUGUAAUAAGUGGGCCUUUGUGCCUAUAACAAUAUACAACUUUCAGCAACGGAUCUCUUGGCUCUC
rnacentral:misc_RNA from 1 species